GAUAAUGUCGUGCCGAUCGCAAGUGUCUGUGACGGCGACAACGCAUUCGAACUUUCGAUGCAAUUUUCCACGCCUACCAUGGUGACCACGGGUAACGGGAAAUCAGGGUUCGAUUCCAGAGAGGGAGCCUGAGAAACGGCUACCACAUGCAAGGAAGGCAGCAGGCGCGCAAAUUACCCACUCGCGACAAUA